GUAUUCAAUGUUCAUAUCUUUGGCCUACGUUUAGAACAUGUAUCCGUGGAUAUCAUAUACCUCAUAGGUCGUGAGGUUGACCGCCAGGUCAUGUGCUAAGGCGUAUAUCAAAUUUCCUUAUGGACAACCCUCUUUUGAGGGAUUAGCGGCAACUUUCUCUUUGAACCAACGCAAGAAAGUGGAGUUGUGCUCUCUAAUAACUUCAACGUCCGUCCUGUGCAGCCCACGAUAACGGUAGUUAUUUGUGAUGGUCUCUUUGCGCAGUUCCAAGAAAGGAUCUACCACGUUUAUGUGUUGUAGCACUACUAAGUUAUCUAUGUCAAAGUCGUCCUACCGGCCCGAGCGGUACACAUUCAAUUCCCUCCGACCAUUGAUGCGACCUUAUCCUUUCAUCCUUCCACAGUGCUUGUUGACGGGCAAACAUACAACAGGUUGUCCGACACCUAGAUAAUUCUCAUAGAAGGAGAUGCACUCUUGGGUGAGAUAGCGUUGCGCGAUGCUUCCAUCCGGAUGGGACAUGUUACGAACGAGUCCUUUGAUGACCCCAUUCAUCAUCUCAAACGACAUCAUGCUGUGUAGGAAUAUUGGCCCUAGGUCUAUGAUGGCGUCCACGAUGUGGACACACACAUGCACCAUGACGUCAAAGAACGUGGGUGGAAACUACGUCUCCAACUCGUUUAGUAUGACAAUGAUCUCUUCUUGUAGCCUUUUUAGUUGCAUCACACAGAUCGACUUUCUAGAGAUAGUGUCGAAAAAGUGGCAUAGAUCAACCAGCGUAUCACAUACGUGUGUGUUCAAAAACCCUCUAAGUGCAACCGGGAGUAACUGCAUCAUCAUCACGUGAUAGUCAAGAGACUUCAUCCCACUAAACCUUUUUUCUCGGUGUCUAGAUAUCUGCUUAUCUUUCCAUAGUAUCCGGAACUAACUUUGAUUCUAGCAAGGCAC
rnacentral:lncRNA from 1 species